GUUACCUUCGGGCCAGACGCGGCGGUAAUACGUAGGUGGGUAGCGGUACGCGUGAUCACUAGGCGUAACGCGCAGGUAUGCGGUUCGGUAAGUAUUGUGGGAGAGCUGCCGGCUGAACUGGGUGAGGUCAAGGGAAACUACCGGGCUAGAGGGUGGCAGAGGAUGCUGGAAUUCCCGGUGGAGCGGUGAAAUGCGUAGAUAUCGUGAGGAACACCUAUGGCGAAAGCAGGCAUCUGGGCUAUCUCUGACGCUGAGCUGCGAAAGCUAGGGGAGCAAACAGGAUUAGAUACCCUGGUAGUC
rnacentral:rRNA from 1 species